CAAAUCCAUUUCCCUUGCCUCUUUACUGAUCCAGCAGACAAAUUCUGCAACCAAAUCUUGCUGGCCGGCGGAUCACUAGAACCAAGUUUGCUGGCAGGGGCCAUGCUGUUCUCCUUAUGCACAAGUAAACAGAGUCUGAUGAAGUGCCUCCUAGUGCCGUGUGCUGAGCCCUCUGCUCACUCCUGACUGCUCAGCUGAAC